GUCUCAUCCCACCUUCCCCCUUCCCCAGGCAAACUAACAAGUGAGCCUUGGGGCAACGGACUGAGUCACAAAUGACCUAGCAGAGCUUCUCUCCCAGCCAUAUGCCUCUCACAGGCUAUGAGGUAUGGUUGGGCACCCUGUUCCAGAAUCCACAGCACGGAGAACCAGGCCUACAGCGGGUCCCAGUAGCCAAGAUGGUGUGUGGGCCCUCAGGCUCCCAGCUUGUCCUGCUCAAGCUGGAGAGAUCUGUGACCCUGAACCAGCGGGUGGCCCUGAUCUGCCUGCCCCCUGAAUGGUAUGUGGUGCCUCCAGGGACCAAGUGUGAGAUUGCAGGCUGGGGUGAGACCAAAGGUAAGAGCACAGUGCACAGGACUGCUGGUGGCCAGGAGGCCCAGCCCUGGAUCUUUGUCCAGGACCCUCU
rnacentral:sRNA from 1 species